rnacentral:rRNA from 1 species
UGGGGAAUAUUGCACAAUGGGCGCAAGCCUGAUGCAGCCAUGCCGCGUGUGUGAAGAAGGCCUUCGGGUUGUAAAGCACUUUCAGCGAGGAGGAAGGGUAGUGUGUUAAUAGCACAUUGCAUUGACGUUACUCGCAGAAGAAGCACCGGCUAACUCCGUGCCAGCAGCCGCGGUAAUACGGAGGGUGCAAGCGUUAAUCGGAAUUACUGGGCGUAAAGCGCACGCAGGCGGUUUGUUAAGUCAGAUGUGAAAUCCCCGCGCUUAACGUGGGAACUGCAUUUGAAACUGGCAAGCUAGAGUCUUGUAGAGGGGGGUAGAAUUCCAGGUGUAGCGGUGAAAUGCGUAGAGAUCUGGAGGAAUACUGGUGGCGAAGGCGGCCCCCUGGACAAAGACUGACGCUCAGGUGCGAAAGCGUGGGGAGCAAACA